AACGAACGCUGGCGGCAGGCUUAACACAUGCAAGUCGAACGCUCGUCUUCGGACGGGAGUGGCAGACGGGUGAGUAACGCGUGGGAACGUACCCUUCGGUUCGGAAUAACCCAGGGAAACUUGGGCUAAUACCGGAUACGCCGGAAACGGGAAAGAUUCAUUGCCGAAGGAUCGGCCCGCGUCGGAUUAGCUAGUUGGUGGGGUAAUGGCUCACCAAGGCGACGAUCCGUAGCUGGUCUGAGAGGAUGAUCAGCCACACUGGGACUGAGACACGGCCCAGACUCCUACGGGAGGCAGCAGUGGGGAAUAUUGGUCAAUGGGCGCAAGCCUGAACCAGCCAUGCCGCGUGAGUGAAGAAGGCCCUAGGGUUGUAAAGCUCUUUCAGCGGGGACGAUAAUGACGGUACCCGCAGAAGAAGCCCCGGCUAACUUCGUGCCAGCAGCCGCGGUAAUACGAAGGGGCUAGCGUUGUUCGGAAUUACUGGGCGUAAAGCGCGCGUAGGCGGGCGUCUAAGUCAGGGGUGAAA
rnacentral:rRNA from 1 species